GCUGGGUGUGGUGGUGCACACCUGUAAUCCCAGCUACUCAGGAGGCUGAGGUAGGAGAAUCGCUUGAACCCAGGAGGCAGAGGUUGCAGCGAGCCAAGAUCACUCCAUUGCACUGCAGCCUGGGUGACAGAGCGAGACUCUGUCUCAA
rnacentral:SRP_RNA from 1 species